GCCCCGAUCCGGGUAAGCGGGGAAACGCCGCCUAAUACCGGAUACGACACACCGCCUCAUGGCGGUCGUGUGGAAAGUUUUUCGGUCGGGGAUGGGCUCGCGGCCUAUCAGCUUGUUGGUGGGGUAACGGCCUACCAAGGCGAUUACGGGUAGCCGGCCUGAGAGGGCGACCGGCCACACUGGGACUGAGACACGGCCCAGACUCCUGCGGGAGGCAGCAGUGGGGAAUAUUGCGCAAUGGGCGAAAGCCUGACGCAGCGACGCCGCGUGGGGGAUGACGGCCUUCGGGUUGUAAACCUCUUUUACCACCAACGCAGGCUCCCAGUUCUCUGGGGGUUGACGGUAGGUGGGGAAUAAGGACCGGCUAACUACGUGCCAGCAGCCGCGGUAAUACGUAGGGUCCGAGCGUUGUCCGGAAUUAUUGGGCGUAAAGAGCUCGUAGGCGGCGUGUCGCGUCUGCUGUGAAAGACCGGGGCUUAACUCCGGUUCUGCAGUGGAUACGGGCAUGCUAGAGGUAGGUAGGGGAGACUGGAAUUCCUGGUGUAGCGGUGAAAUGCGCAGAUAUCAGGAGGAACACCGGUGGCGAAGGCGGGUCUCUGGGCCUUACCUGACGCUGAGGAGCGAAAGCAUGGGGAGCGAACAGGAUUAGAUACCCUGGUAGUCCAUGCCGUAAACGUUGGGCGCUAGGUGUGGGGACUUUCCACGGUUUCCGCGCCGCAGCUAACGCAUUAAGCGCCCCGCCUGGGAGUACGGCCGCAAGGCUAAAACUCAAAGGAAUUGACGGGGGCCCGCACAAGCGGCGGAGCAUGUUGCUUAA
rnacentral:rRNA from 2 species